ACGAGUCGCNCUGGGCGGAACCACGCCGAAAGGUUGGCUAAUACCGCAUGAGUUCUACGGAAGAAAGAGGGGGACCCGCAAGGGCCUCUCGCGAGCGGAGCGGCCGAUGACUGAUUAGCCGGUUGGUGAGGUAACGGCUCACCAAAGCAACGAUCAGUAGCUGGUCUGAGAGGACGACCAGCCACACUGGGACUGAGACACGGCCCAGACUCCUACGGAAGGCAGCAG
rnacentral:rRNA from 1 species